rnacentral:lncRNA from 1 species
UCCAGCCCAUGCCUUGAGAGUGCUCUGCUGAAGUGCACGUCCAAAGGAAAAGGAAAGUGACCAUGGCUUCUUCGUCUUGAGCUGGUUCAUGGCAUUAAGGUUGCGGGUAGCCUCCUCCUCACUCUGCCCACCAGACAAGAACACAACAGCAGGAACUGCUGCAGGCAUAGUGCGUUGCAGGGCCCGGACAGUGUGUUCAGCAAUCACCUCCGGUGUAACUUUGGGAGCUUCAGAUCCAGGGGUCACCAUGUUGGGCUUCAAAAGGGUACCCUCAAGAAGGACAUGGUGGUCAUUCAGAGCCUUGUAGCAUGCAGCAAGAACACGCUCGGUCACAUCAGCACACUUGUUGAUGUCAUGGGGACCGUCAACAAGGAUCUCAGGUUCAACAAUGGGAACAAGGCCAUUCUCCUGGCAGAUGAUAGCAUAUCGGGCCAGGCCAUUGGCAUUCUCAUUGAUGGCCAGCUGCGAAGGCUCAUUAGGGCCAAUCUUAAGAACAGCACGCCAUUUGGCAAAACGAGCACCAGCUUCAUAGUAUUUCUGGCAGCGCUGGGCGAGGCCAUCAAGACCCUGGGUGGUGGUCUCACCAUUGGUACCAGCAAGCUCAACAGUACCCUUGUCAACCUUAAUUCCAGGGAGGACUCCACCCUCCUUCAAGACAUCAACAAAGGGCUUGCCUGCAAAAUCACUAACAUAAAUAAGUUUCGAAGGUCAAAAUAAAAUUCAAAAUAUAACAACUGACAGAAAGUUUUAACACCAUACCAGCAGCAGUCUUCUGGUAGAGGGUCUCCUCGAAGAGGAUGACACCACUGAGGUACUGAAGGGCACCGGGAGUGCAGAAAAGGAGCUCGCGGAGAGCACGCCUGUUUGACUCAACAUUCUCAACAUUGAUGCUGGAUAGACGCUUGCCAAUGGUGCCUGUUGACUCAUCAGCAG